rnacentral:rRNA from 1 species
UACGUAGGGCCCGAGCGUUAUCCGGUAUUAUUGGGCGUAAAGAGUACGUAGGCGGUUUUGUAAGACAAUGGUUAAAUCUCCGGGCUCAACCCGGAAACCGCCGUUGUGACUGCGAGACUAGUCGAUAGCAGGGGCAAGCGGAAUUCUCGGUGUAGGGGUGAAAUCCGUUGAGAUCGAGAAGAACACCAAUGGCGAAGGCAGCUUGCUAGGCUAUAAGGGACGCUGAGGUACGAAAGCGUGGGGAGCGAACGGG